rnacentral:rRNA from 1 species
CCUGGCUCAGGAUGAACGCUAGCGACAGGCCUAACACAUGCAAGUCGAGCGGCAGCACCUCGGGUGGCGAGCGGCGCACGGGUGAGUAACGCGUAAUGUAACCUGCCCAUGGAGUGGGGGAUAGCCCGGUGAAAACCGGAUUAAUACCCCAUGACACCAAUGUCUGACAUCAUUUAUGGUUAAAGAUUCAUUGCUCAUGGAUGGACAUGCGUUGGAUUAGCUAGUCGGCGGGGCAACGGCCCACCGAGGCUACGAUCCAUAGGGGUUCUGAGAGGAAGGUCCCCCACAUUGGCACUGAGACACGGGCCAGACUCCUACGGGAGGCAGCAGUGAGGAAUAUUGGUCAAUGGCCGAGAGGCUGAACCAGCCAAGUAGCGUGCAGGACGACGGCCCUACGGGUUGUAAACUGCUUUUGCGGGAGGAUAAAGUGCGCCACGCGUGGCGCUUUGCAGGUACCGCAUGAAUAAGGACCGGCUAAUUCCGUGCC